GUGAGUAGUUCAGAGUUUGAUCCUGGCUCAGGAUGAACGCUAGCGGCAGGCUUAACACAUGCAAGUCGAGGGGCAGCAUGAGGGUUAGCAAUAACUCUUGAUGGCGACCGGCGCAAGGGUGCGUAACGCGUGAGCAACUUGCCCGUUUCUGGGGAAUAACCGGUGGAAACGCCGACUAAUACCCCAUGGCAUUGAUUUCAGGCAUCUGUUAUCAAUUAAAGAAUUUCGGAAACGGAUAGGCUCGCGUGACAUUAGCUAGAUGGCGGGGUAACGGCCCACCACUGGCGACGAUGUCUAGGGGUUACGUGAGUAGGAGGGUCCCCCGACGACUGGAACGUGAGGACACGGUCCAG
rnacentral:rRNA from 1 species